CGCUAGCUACAGGCUUAACACAUGCAAGUCGAGGGGCAGCAUGACGAUAGCUUGCUAUUGUCGAUGGCGACCGGCGCACGGGUGAGUAACGCGUAUCCAACCUUCCCGUUGCUAGGGGAUAACCUUGCGAAAGUAAGACUAAUACCCUAUGAGGUUCUUCGCAGGCAUCUAAAGAGAACGAAAGAUUUAUCGGCAACGGAUGGGGAUGCGUCUGAUUAGGUUGUUGGCGGGGUAACGGCCCACCAAGGCAACGAUCAGUAGGGGUUCUGAGAGGAAGGUCCCCCCACAUUGGAACUGAGACACGGUCCAAACUCCUACGGGAGGCAGCAGUGAGGAAUAUUGGUCAAUGGGCGAGAGCCUGAACCAGCCAAGUAGCGUGCAGGAAGACGGCCCUAUGGGUUGUAAACUGCUUUUAUAGGGGAAUAAAGUGAGCCACGUGUGGUUUUUUGCAUGUACCCUAUGAAUAAGGACCGGCUAAUUCCGUG
rnacentral:rRNA from 1 species